rnacentral:rRNA from 1 species
AUUGAACGCUGGCGGCAUGCCUUACACAUACAAGUCGAACGGUAACAGGUCUUCGGAUGCUGGCGAGUGGCGAACGGGUGAGUAAUACAUCGGAACGUGCCUAGUAGUGGGGGAUAACUACUCGAAAGAGUGGCUAAUACCGCAUGAGAUCUACGGAUGAAAGCAGGGGAUCGCAAGACCUUGUGCUACUAGAGCGGCCGAUGGCAGAUUAGGGAGUUGGUGGGAUAAAAGCUUACCAAGCCGACGAUCUGUAGCUGGUCUGAGAGGACGACCAGCCACACUGGGACUGAGACACGGCCCAGACUCCUACGGGAGGCAGCAGUGGGGAAUUUUGGACAAUGGGCGAAAGCCUGAUCCAGCAAUGCCGCGUGCAGGAUGAAGGCCUUCGGGUUGUAAACUGCUUUUGUACGGAACGAAAAGCCCUGGGUUAAUACCCUGGGGAUGACGGUACCCAAAGAAUAAGCACCGGCUAACUUCGUGCCAGCCGCCGCCGUAAUAC